rnacentral:rRNA from 1 species
ACAAGCGGUGGAUGAUGUGGAUAAUUCGAUGACAACGCGAAAACCUUACCUACCCUUGACAUGUCCGGAAUCCCGAAGAGAUUUGGGAGUGCUCGCAAGAGAACCGGAACACAGGUGCUGCAUGGCUGUCGUCAGCUCGUGUCGUGAGAUGUUGGGUUAAGUCCCGCAACGAGCGCAACCCUUGUCAUUAGUUGCCAUCAUUUGGUUGGGCACUCUAAUGAGACUGCCGGUGACAAACCGGAGGAAGGUGGGGAUGACGUCAAGUCCUCAUGGCCCUUAUGGGUAGGGCUUCACACGUCAUACAAUGGUCGGUACAGAGGGUUGCCAACCCGCGAGGGGGAGCUAAUCCCACAAAGCCGAUCGUAGUCCGGAUCGCAGUCUGCAACUCGACUGCGUGAAGUCGGAAUCGCUAGUAAUCGUGGAUCAGCAUGUCACGGUGAAUACGUUCCCGGGUCUU